GACGAACGCUGGCGGCGUGCUUAACACAUGCAAGUCGAACGGAAAGGCCCUGCUUUUGUGGGGUGCUCGAGUGGCGAACGGGUGAGUAACACGUGAGUAACCUGCCCUUGACUUUGGGAUAACUUCAGGAAACUGGGGCUAAUACCGGAUAGGAGCUCCUACUGCAUGGUGGGGGUUGGAAAGUUUCGGCGGUUGGGGAUGGACUCGCGGCUUAUCAGCUUGUUGGUGGGGUAGUGGCUUACCAAGGCUUUGACGGGUAGCCGGCCUGAGAGGGUGACCGGCCACAUUGGGACUGAGAUACGGCCCAGACUCCUACGGGAGGCAGCAGUGGGGAAUAUUGCACAAUGGGCGGAAGCCUGAUGCAGCAACGCCGCGUGCGGGAUGACGGCCUUCGGGUUGCAAACCGCUUUCGCCUGUGACGAAGCGUGAGUGACGGUAAUGGGUAAAGAAGCACCGGCUAACUACGUG
rnacentral:rRNA from 1 species